rnacentral:lncRNA from 1 species
AAUUCUUAUACGUUAAGGCCUUUCUAUCUUUUUGGAGUGGUUAUGGAUCCUUUUCAAUGGGAAGAGAUCUUUUAAAAAGUUUCUUCCGAAAUGGUUAUGUAUACUGCUAUUCUGUAUUUCUUAUUUCAUGUUCUUUUAUAUCCUAAAUUAUUAUCUUAAUUUUUUUUCCUUGCAGUUUUUCUAUUGGUCAUUGUAGUCGUGACCUCAUCUUAAACAAAAGGCUAAAGAUGGUGAUUCGGAUGUUACUAAGACAUACAUCUUCUCAAAUGGUCAUGAAGCUGCUCCUCGAAAAGUAAUGUCUUCAACACUUGCUCACUUUACCCGUACUCAUGAACUUCUGCAAUUAGUAUAUAUCUUUUAUUUUUCUAUUGUGUUUUUUUAUAUGUAUUUGGGACCUUUUCCAACUAUAAAUGCUAAAAAUUAUAUUAAAUGUUAUUUCUCUUUCCUAUUUUUGUUUCAUGUUUACAUUGAUUAUAGUUGAAAAUAUAGUGCUUUUGAUCUUCGUUUGAAGCUUUUUCUGUUAGUUUAUGGAGUUUCUUUGUCCCUUCAAUUCUUUGGUUUAUAAUUGUUCGUAUUUAUUGACUUUAAGUUUGUUGGUUUUCGCAAGUUGGUUGGUGUAUGAAUUUACUAGAUUUGGAUUGUUUUGUUUUUUACAGAUAUUAUUAAAGUUGUUUCUCACGUGAAUUUUUCUAAGUCUAUUAUGACAAAUGGUAAUUGUAAUUGCAUGAGUCACUAGAGUAACUUGCUUCUUCUUUCUCCUCCUUUUUGAUUUCUCUCCUCUUAUUUCUUCCUUUGAUCUUCAAGUAGUAUAGUUUCUGUCUGUAAAAAAUAUAAUUCUGAAUGAUACAUAAUUUAUAAGAAAAAACCAUUGAAUGUUUCCUUGCUGUGAAUUUGGUCAAAUGUUUUUGUAAUUUGGAAAGGAAAAAAAAUUCUCUCUUUUGUUAUAAAUGCAAGUGGAAAAUAAUGUAUGAAGAAUUUAACUAUGUUUGUCAUGCACUUUUCGACCAAUUAUACUCCUUUAAUAGUCCAUUGAUAAUAUAAUUUUGAUUUUUGUGAAAAAUGUGAUCUAUAUUUUUGUAAUGAAAUAAUAACUACGGGGUGAAAAAAGAAGUAAGGAAUAAAAUUGAAAGAAGAGGGAAAAAGGAAAAGAAGAAUCAUUUGGGAAAGAAAAACAGACUCAUCCAGGGAAGUGCAUUGGUCUUCUCAGGUUCCUUCAGAUCUAGCAUUUUACUUUUCUUGAUGACAAUAGUAGCCAUUUGAAAUUAUUAGUAGAGUUUUCAAGAAAUUAUCAUUGAUACUCAUGGAAACUUAGGAUCUUUUAUUAGUAGAGUUUUCAAGAAAUUAUCAUUGAUACUCAUGGAAACUUAGGAUCUUUCUCCCAUAUUGAGUUUAGUUGUUGACUAUGAAAUUUUUGUAUAUGAUAUAUGCAUGGAAUUUAAUUAAAUUUUGUGAAUACUUUCAUAUUGUCCAUUUAGUUCUUCAAUUGAUUUUUGAAUAAUGAGUUUUUUUCCAUGAAUAACAUGUGUAUGAACUAAUGCUAAUUCCUGGAGUUUUAUUGAUUUCUUAACCCAAAAAGAAAUUAUGUUUUCUUUUUAUCAAUUCCUAUGUUGUCGACUCAUUGUCAUUUUAUUUUCCUUUUUAAUUGUUUUUUAGUAGCGAAAAAACAUACUUAGUCCUAAUUAAACAAAAAUUUAUCUCUAUCAAGACAUGAUUUAUAAGGUCAUUCUAAAUUCCCUAUUAUAUCGUGCGAAGCACGAACACAUUCACUAGUUAUUUUCUAAUUACAUGGUGCUUCUCAAGAGUUAAAAGCCCUCACUAUAUUAGUCUCCAAGACCUGCAAAAUAUUUCUACAAGUGUUAAAAGAAUGAAUAUUAACCACAAAUUGUAUGCCACCAAGUUCCAGAUGAUCCCUAGCAAGUCAUAAACAUGGAAGAUAUGAAUUAUACAGUGAGUGAGCUGUGCGCUCAUCAACCUGUCAGAUAGAGAUGCUGUUGGGAAUACCACGACAGGUAACACCCGGACCAGAAGUAGGUAGCAGCAGUUCAUAUGGAGGAAUGCCAGCACCACUUCGGUUUUUAAGACGAUUAUCCUUGUUUCUUUGGUUGAUGGUGUGUUCUACCUCCUCUAAUUUGGCACAGAAUCUUUCAGAAAUCCUCAAAACUUCAUGAUCAUUUACGGAGAAUCUUUGAAGUUCGUGCACCUGAUGCAAGUAUUCCUCGUCUGCUGAAUGAGUCGAUAAGGUAUCUUGAACGGCCAUCACUUUAGUAGCUUGGAGUUGAGUAGGCAAAGAUGCCAGAAAAGUGAACUCAGGGUGAAGAAUAAAGUUCUCAUAGCUGGGAUCAUCUUCACGUGGGAUGAGCUUUCGCAUAAGGGUAGGACGGUUAGGUACAUAACCUCCAAAAGGGUACUGCCCAAAGUUUAUUGCUGCAUGUUGGCCUGAGGCAAUCCAAAUCAUUAUGGUGAGUAUGCCAGACAAGUCUUCUUUAGUAACAAGCUUUGGCCACCAAGGCUCAUCUUUCUUGUCAGGGUGUCCCUUGCUCUUGAUCUCAUUCCACCACCCUUGGAGCUCAACAUCUGAAGUGACAGAAUUAGGCUCGGAAUAGUAGUGCUCAACAUACGACUCCACAUAUUCUUUUAUGGCAGACCAUAUGAGAAGGCCGUCUGCUGCAUAAGGGUAGUCUUCAAUCACAAGUUUCACCCCCAAAGGCAUUGAUGGAUCCUCCACGGCCAUUCCCCUUAAAAGCAGUCAACAUUGUGUUUAUUAGUUGAGAAGUUGCAAUAAUCAGAUGAAACAGUAGUUCAAGGUUUUAAGAGAUGUCUUGCUUUAGGAAAUUUACCUUCUUAUUAAAUCUGAAGGCAGAGCUUCCAUAUCAAACCGCCACAUGCUCUUGUAAGCUGCAGAGCUUAUUUCCAUUGAAUAUCUUCCGGGGCUAAAACAUGCUUCAAUAACUCCACCCCCGUUUAUCAAACUCUGCCUCGCAAGCGCAUUGAUUUCCAGUGUGUAGCGCAUANNNNNNNNNNNNNNNNNNNNNNNNNNNNNNNNNNNNNNNNNNNNNNNNNNNNNNNNNNNNNNNNNNNNNNNNNNNNNNNNNNNNNNNNNNNNNNNNNNNNNNNNNNNNNNNNNNNNNNNNNNNNNNNNNNNNNNNNNNNNNNNNNNNNNNNNNNNNNNNNNNNNNNNNNNNNNNNNNNNNNNNNNNNNNNNNNNNNNNNNNNNNNNNNNNNNNNNNNNNNNNNNNNNNNNNNNNNNUCCAUACAAGCAUGAGUCCUUAACCUGAGAAUUCAAUUUACAUGCACAGUGAGAUCCCCGACUAAUAGGGUCAAAGCUAGAGAAAAACUUUCUGCUAUGUCUUUCCAAUCGUCCAGUUUCAGUUUCAAAUCUAUUUCAACACAUGGUCAAUGUCGAUGUGCCCAAAGGAGAAGAUUAUUAGAUAUUAUGAAAGCACAAUGAGAACUAACAUUGGAAGAAAGCUACGUAAAUAUGUUUACAAAAAAAAAAAAAAAUAGGGAAGGGCUCUAAGCUUACCAGUGGUUCACCAACUGAUGAAUGCCAGCAUCAUUUGAACAAACAUGUGCUUUGGCUAGAUUCCAGAUCCAGUGACUGGUUGAAUCAUGUCCAUGGGUGAAUAUACGCUUGUUCCUAGGUGAAGAAGGUGUUGGAGGCAGUGAAAGUUCAACGAUAAUCGGCUUUAGAACACCUCUGGAUGUGUGGAAGAGAAGUGUUCUUGAUGCAUAAGCUUUCCUCCCUGGCAAGUUGUUCAUCUUCCCGAUAAAUGGCAAAAGCAUGUCAUGAUAAUCAAGUAUAAACAAUCUCUUGUCUUCAAUUGCCUGAGCAGAAAAUUUUGAGAUGAAAUUAGAGCUGGUUUAAACAUGAAAAGAGCCACCACAAAUGAUCACUGUGUUUGAGAAACUACUACCAGGUGCAUAGCCAGUCUGGUGAAUUCAGUUUCCUAGUUAGAGCAAAGUAGCAACAAAGUACACUGGAAAAUUAUUACCUCUUCAACAGUCAGUCCAUUAAGCUCUUGUUCUAUAAGAUCCCUGGUAAUAGCUGAAUCAGGGGGGCCAUAAACAGCUGGAUCUAGUUUGCUAACAAUUGGAAAUUCCUGUUGAAUACCGCAAGCUUACUUACUGAAUAUCUAAAGAAAGCUUACAAUUUAUUUAGUACCAAAAUAUUAACAAAAAUUACCCUCAAAAGUUCAAUAUUCACAGGGUUAACCCCUGCUAAAGCUUGUCGCGCAAACUCAUUAUCUCGCAACCAAGCAAAUCUAUCCCCUGUGUCACAAAAAUCAGAAAGAUGCAGAGUUUAUGAAAUAUCACUCCAGAAACUACAGUCGGAAAGAAAUUAGAGAUAGCAGGUUUCUGAUGGCAUAUAUUGUCAAUCUUGUGAAUAAAACAGGAUUCUUCAGUCUUAAUAAUGCUAAAUGAUACAGCUAAAAACAUAUACUGAUGAAAAAGUAAUUUAAUAUGUGUGCUUACGUUUGAUUAUAGCAGGAAUCUCAUAUUUGAGCAACCUUUUGCUGACAGAAAAUACUUUAUCCAAAGUAUCAGAAAGAAAUUUAUUCUUCUGUGAAUGUUCAUCAUCGUUCAAUUCAAACCCAUCGUUAUAGAGUUUAUCUAUGUCGGAGAAGUUUGUGAAGGGAAUGUCUGAGCUUGACAGUGUGGCAGCAAUUAGUGGUACCAGGUUAUGUAACAGAGCUUUCAACCUUCCAGCAGAAAAAGUAUUUUGCUUAAUUUCUUCAAAAGUUUCGUCUCUAGGGACAUAAACUGGAUGAGGUUUCUCUAUUCGACUCUCUGCUAGUGGAUCUGUCAGCAUCCAAAGAUCAAGAAAAAAGGUAUGUCACAGAAUUGAGGCACGAAAAUUUUUCUCCUCAACAGAUUUCUCAGUACCUGUUUUAGUUGGACUUCUACCAGUCCGACAACGCCUAGGAUAAGGUCUCUCUUUGCCACCUAUCAGUGGCCUAGCAAGAUCCUCACUUUUGUCGGGAUUUCCUAAAUCAUUAUAAACAUCAUAAUCAUAGAUUCGUUCAUGUAGCUUCCUCUCGCCUUUCCCAGUUCCACGAAUGAUCAACAAGUCUUCACGUCGAAGAUCCUUGAUGCCAGGUGGUGUUUCAGAUGGUAGAUAUGCCUGCUAAUGCAGGAGCAUCCUUGAUCAAGCACCAAUAUCUGCUUUACAAAAUGAAAAGUAAAAAUCAUUUAAAAGUAUCGCUUACCUGAUUUUGGAAGAUAAUUCUACUCUCUGGAUUAUCUUUUCGAGAAUGAAUCCAUGUAUUAGCACUAAAGAAUAUAGGGCCUUCAUUAAAGUUAUGAACAACAAUCUGCACUAAGUGUAUCUCUUUGUCAAGGAAAUUGGUAAUAAUGAUAGCUCCAGGA